UGUGUACUCCCUCCGUCCAACAAAAUAUGUCUCAAAUCUGACUAAAUUUGAAUGCAUCUAUACACUAAGUUAUGUCUAGAUACAUCAAAUUUUAACAAACUUGAGACAUCUUUUGUUGCAUGGAGGGAGUAUAAU
rfam:Brachypodium distachyon strain Bd21 chromosome 1, whole genome shotgun sequence.